GUACGCAAUAAUUUAGUUAAAAAUUCGCAACCCCUAAAUAUAACCGGGCCUGACGUCAUAAUAUUAUAAUUAUUAUUUGCACUUUUUUCUCCCUAAAUGCUGAUUGCUAACGCGGAAUCCCCCGAGAUAUAAUGUUUAAUCAAUACUAUCGCGGACGCGUAUUUUUUUUUUGUUUUGUUUUUUUAGUUUUUUAUUAUUUUCAGCGAUAUAGCAGCAUGGAUUCCAUUAUGAAUAAUAUAGGCG